rnacentral:lncRNA from 7 species
GAUAGUAAGGAGAGGUACCAGGGUGCCAAGCCAACCCAAGACUGCUACCUCUUGGCCCACUCAGAGGCCUCCAGACCAGACAAGCUCCAUCUCCCGUGGGAGCAGUGGCCUGUCGCUCUCUGCCUCUAGCUCCCACAGUGGCCACAGAUGGCAGUGUCUCUGGGGACAGCAGCUGCGAUUGAGUCCACUGGCUAACACCGAGCCGCUCAGGCUGAGGCAUCUGGCUCUGUGCAAAGACUGCAGAAUAGGCGUUUCGGGCAUGAGCCAAAGCCUGCGCGAUGCCGCACUUUCUGGACUGGUUUGUGCCUGUCUACCUGGUCAUCUCCGUCCUCAUCCUGGUGGGCUUUGGAGCCUGCAUCUACUACUUCGAGCCUGGCCUGCAGGAGGCGCACAAGUGGCGCAUGCAGCGCCCCCUGGUGGACCGUGAUCUCCGCAAGACGCUGAUGAUGCGGGACAACCUGGCUUUCGGAGGCCCAGAAGUCUGAGACUGCCUGGGUACCUGAGACGCUCCAAGCUGACAGAGGGACGACUCCUUUGAUCUUUCCACCCACCCAUCUGCAGCCCAGUAGAGGUCCUCGUUGUUCAGGGGAGCCCCUUUCUGUAGAAACCAGGCACUUGAAUCUUAUUUGCUGCUGUGGGAUCAAAAUCUCAGAGUUGAGCCCAUUCACCCUAUGCCUUCCCUUCCUAGCUCUGGGGACAUCCUCCACUAGCCCUCCACUAGCCCUCAGUGCCUUUGUGCUGUCCUUCCCUCUACCACUCUACCUGGAGUCAGGUCUGACUGUCCCACUGAAUUCUGAGUUGCUUUCUGUUCCCAUCUCUGUUGCACAGCUGAGCUGGACAGGCCUCAAAACUGUCCCAAGACAAGAAUCUAAUUCAGAAGGAUCCUGGCUUGGUAUAGAUCAGCCCCGCUCACCUCUGAGAGGUCAGGCUUAGAAUGAGUGACAGUGUAUGGUGGGGGUGUGCAGAAGGGUAAGACUUUGGGGAGGGUGUGCCUGUAUGUGUGCACACAUGUGAGGGGGGAGGGAGGGAAGGGGGGAGGAAGAGAGGGAGGGAAGGAGGGAUAGAAGGAGAAGAAGAGGAGGAGGAGGAGGAAGAGAAGGAGAAAGAGAAGAAGAGGAGGAGGAGGAGGAAGAGAAGGAGAAAGAGAAGAAGAGGAGAGGAGAGAGUGGGGCCCCAGGCAGAGCAGGCAGUGGUGGGGAUAAAGUGGGCCAGUGGGAGGACUGUCCACAGCAGGGUCCACCCUUACCGCUAGGCUGCCCACACUUCCUUUCUAUCCCAUGCUGCACUUCCAGGGUUGAGCUUAGCCCUGCCUGCCCACUCUGGAAGCUCCUCUUGUGUGGAGGUUUCAUUACUUGACUUUGCACACAAAUUGGCAGCCUCCCUCAGUCUGUCCUGCUGCGGCUUCACUUGUGCAACGCUAAUAAAGGUUCUAUGGCCACCUUUGCA